rnacentral:rRNA from 1 species
GAACGCUGGCGGCGUGCCUAAUACAUGCAAGUACGAACGCUGAAGGAGGAGCUUGCUUCUCUGGAUGAGUUGCGAACGGGUGAGUAACGCGUAGGUAACCUGCCUGGUAGCGGGGGAUAACUAUUGGAAACGAUAGCUAAUACCGCAUAAGAGUAGAUGUUGCAUGACAUUUGCUUAAAAGGUGCACUUGCAUCACUACCAGAUGGACCUGCGUUGUAUUAGCUAGUUGGUGGGGUAAGGGCUCACCAAGGCGACGAUACAUAGCCGACCUGAGAGGGUGAUCGGCCACACUGGGACUGAGACACGGCCCAGACUCCUACGGGAGGCAGCAGUAGGGAAUCUUCGGCAAUGGACGGAAGUCUGACCGAGCAACGCCGCGUGAGUGAAGAAGGUUUUCGGAUCGUAAAGCUCUGUUGUAAGAGAAGAACGAGUGUGAGAGUGGAAAGUUCACACUGUGACGGUAUCUUACCAGAAAGGGACGGCUAACUACGUGCCAGCAGCCGCGGUAAUACGUAGGUCCCGAGCGUUGUCCGGAUUUAUUGGGCGUAAAGCGAGCGCAGGCGGUUAGAUAAGUCUGAAGUUAAAGGCUGUGGCUUAACCAUAGUAGGCUUUGGAAACUGUUUAACUUG